rnacentral:sRNA from 1 species
ACCCUUUAGCGUUUAGACAUUUUUGUCUAGUCGGGCGAUAAGCCAGACUCAAAUUUAUUGGGAAGU